rnacentral:lncRNA from 1 species
AUCCCGUUAUACGCGACAUCGAACAGAUCGACCUUCACCUGGAAGUUACGAAGUGACAGGCAAUACACAAAAGUCUAGAAAAAAGAGGGACAAGGAAAAAGAUGUCUUAUUUUCGUUUCCCCUGCCCUUUAGGGGAAUCGGAUAUGUUAGACUACCACAAGGAUGUAAGUCGUAAAUGAAUUUACAAAGUUUAUUCAUGUGAUUAUCCAUAUAAGGUCAUCUGGCAUCGGUCUCCUCUUUCAGACUUUCAUGUCUUUCCCGGUUGUUUCAAAGGUUCGCGAAAAUCAUCCUAUUUAGUCAUAAUUUAAGAAACUUAUAUCAUAGGUUUACAUCAGCAAUGUCUGACUCUUGAAAAUAAGUGCUGCUCAAAUAUCCAACGAGUUACAUGUAAUAUCAGGUCUGUUCGUGCCCAUAUUUACACUUUUGCAUCCUCCACGUUCACACCUCGCACUUUGUCCCUUGAGGUCCGUUUGCACCUAUCUAUCUAUCUUCCCGUCAAGGAGUGGACUCAUUUUUAUAUCAAUUCAUACACAGCGUGAGUGAACGACUAAAAACCUUCAAGUAUUUACAGUUAAAAAGAGAUCUGUAUGUACAAUUAAAAAUGGUGCUGUAAUUUAGAUGUAGAGUAGUGUCGACACACUGACAUUUGGAAUGGCGUGUCGAAAAUGUUCCACAGACGGGGAAGCUCGAAUAUCUGGAGGUACAUUGUAUUGUCCAGGAUAUGAUGGUGGCUGGUAUGAAGCCAUUGAAGGAAUAUUUGAAAUAUAUAGCACCCUACACAUUCGACCCAAUUUUAGAUUGAAUUCCAGUUGAAUUAUUAGAAAAUAAUGAUUGUUGUGUAAACUUGCUUUGAUGUAAAUAUAGCUUGGUAUGAGCAACACAUUGAAGAUUUUAAAAGAAAAAGAUGAAAGUUAAUAGUUCUUAACAGCUUGGUCCCUACAUCUCACUUUAUUUUGAAACAAUGAAAAAAAUGUAUAGCAAUACACCAUGAACACUAAUCAAUUAAAGAAUGGACCCAGAUUUUGAAAUUUAUCAAUAACAAGAAUGUGUCCUCAGUACACGAAUGCCCCACUCGCACUAUCAUUUUCUAUGUUCAGUGGACCGUGAAAUUGGGGUAAAAUCUCUAAUUUGGCAUUAAAAUUAGAAAGAUCAUAUCAUAGGGAACAUGUGUACCAAGUUUGAAGUCGAUUGGACUUCAACUUCAUCAAAAACUACCUUGACCAAAAACUUUAACCUGAAGCGGGACAGACGGACGAACGAACGAACGGACGCACAGACCAGAAAACAUAAUGCCCCUCUACUAUCGUAGGUGGGGCAUAACAACAUCAGAAAUCACAUCCUAGACCUUAUGAUAUCGAGUCUGUUCAUGCCCAGUACACUUUCGCACCUAAUUUUAAAUGGAAUUCCAGUUGAAUUAUCAGAAAAUCAUGAUUGUUGUUUUAACUUGCUUUGAUGUCAAUACUGCAUAUGUUUAGCUUGAUAUGAGUAAAACAUUGAAGAUUUCAAAUGAAAAACACAAAAUUUAAUUUUUUUUAAAGGGGCACUAGCAACGACAUAUUAUGCUUGGUAUGAGUAAAACAUUGAAGAUUUCAAAUGAAAAACACAAAAUUUAAUUGUUUUUAAAGGGGCACUAGCAACGACAUAUCAUGCUUGGUAUGAGUAAAACAUCGAAGAUUUCAAAUGAAAAACACAAAAUUUAAUUGUUUUUAAAGGGGCACUAGCAACGACAUAUUAUGCUUAGAAAGAUUGAUGAUGAAUAAUUGACUUACAACGCAAGAAAAAAACAUUGUUAAAUCUCACUGUAGUUAGAAACAAUGUUUUUUUUAUUUAUAUAGCAUUUACAUGUACACUAUCCAAAACAUAAUUAAAAUUUAUUCAACACACAAAAAAACGUAGACUUAGAAUCUUGAUUUAUUUUGAGACAAUGACAAAAAAAAUAUUUAUAGCCCUUCACCUACCAAAACCAGAUUACAAAAUUAUUGAACACAAAACCGACGAACGAACGAACGGACGCACAGACCAGAAAACAUAAUGCCCCUCUACUAUCGUAGGUGGGGCAUAACAACAUCAGAAAUCACAUCCUAGACCUUAUGAUAUCGAGUCUGUUCAUGCCCAGUACACUUUCGCACCUAAUUUUAAAUGGAAUUCCAGUUGAAUUAUCAGAAAAUCAUGAUUGUUGUUUUAACUUGCUUUGAUGUCAAUUGCAUAUUAGCUUUAUUAUGUUGAUAAAACAUUGAAGAUUUCAAAUGAAAAAACACAAAAAUUAAUUUUUUUUAAAGGGCACUAGCAACGACAUAUUAUGCUUGUAUGAGUAAAACAUUGAAGAUUUCAAAUGAAAAACACAAAAUUUAAUUUUUUUAAAGGGCAUGCAACGACAUAUCAUGCUUGGUAUGAGUAAAACAUUGAAGAUUUCAAAUGAAAAACACAAAAUUUAAUUGUUUUUAAAGGGGCACUAGCAACGACAUAUUAUGCUUAGAAAGAUUGAUGAUGAAUAAUUGACUUACAACGCAAGAAAAAAACAUUGUUAAAUCUCACUGUAGUUAGAAACAAUGUUUUUUUUAUUUAUAUAGCAUUUACAUGUACACUAUCCAAAACAUAAUUAAAAUUUAUUCAACACACAAAAAAACGUAGACUUUAGAAUCUUGAUUUAUUUUGAGACAAUGACAAAAAAAAAUUUUAUAGCCCUUCACCUACCAAAACCAGAUUACAAAAUUAUUGAACACAAAACCAAUGAAAAGGUGUAUGUAUUUUUACUUUAUAACAGUAUCACGGCUGCCACCAAAAAAUACCAUAGAUCUGAUGAAUAAACAUUUGCUUAACUGAUACCUUGAUUUUGAUGAUUAUUAUUUUCAACAGGAUCAUGAUGCUUUAACAGAAAGAUUUAGAAAGACUUUGUAUUACGGAAAGAUGCCCAACACAGAAAGACCCUCGUUACCUCUAACAGGUA